AUUCAUGUUAUCUAUUUGUUCAGUGUUUGAAACCUAAACUAAUUUUCGUGCUUCAUAUAUAUGGCUGAUAUGUGAGUGUAAAAAACUGAUUGCUGAAUAACUCUCUCAAUAUUCAUUGGAUUGUCUUGAAACCAUCACCAAAAUAUAUGUAAUCAUUUCUUAUAAUAGGAUUGAACAUUUAAUGUUAAAAAUAUGUAUUUUACAGUGUUUGAACUUUAAACUAAUUUUUCGUGCUUCAUUUAUGGCUGGUAUUUGAGUGUAAAAAAACAGAUUGUUGAAUAACUCUCUCAAUAUUCAUUGGAUCUUCUUGAAACUUUCACCAAAAUACUUUGUUUGAAACAUAUACUAAUUUUUUGCGCUACAUAUAUGGUUCUUAUGUGAGUGUAAAUAAUUGAUUGCUGAAUAACUCUCUCAAUAUUCAUUGGAUCAUCUUGAAACCAUCACCAAAAUACAUUUGUUAGGCGAGGUCGUUUUGCAUUUCUAAGAAUUGCCAGUAAGGACGAUAACAUCCUGGAGAUUGUUGUUUUAAAUGUGAAAACAAUUCCAAGAACUAAUCUAAAUUGGAAGGUUGACGAUUACAACAAUAAGAGAUUUUCUUGUAUAUAAGGGAGUCCGAAGACCAACAGGGGCAGAUGUACCAGAGCUACGAAGACCUGAGCAACUUCACGACACUCAGCCACUUUUUGUAUCAGUUACAUGUAUUUUAUUUAUAUAGAAUAGACAUUAUUGUAUUUAAGAGUUGUAAAUUUUGUUUUAAUAACACCUUGGAUCUGGAUCUGAUAUUGGCACGCAACAUUAUUUACAUUGUCAAAAAAGUAAUAAUAACUAUAUAUUGGUUGUAUACAUGUUUAAAGUUUAAUAAAAGGAAGUAAUCAGUUAAUAAUUUAAUAUAAUUGUUUAUGAAAAUCAGGAUGACAAAUUUUACAGUUAAUAAAUGUGAUAAAUAUAUUUAA